CUGGCGAUGCUACCAUGCAGUCGAACGGUAACAGGAAACAGCUUGCUGUUUUGCUGACGAGUGGCGGACGGGUGAGUAAUGUCUGGGAAACUGCCUGAUGGAGGGGGAUAACUACUGGAAACGGUAGCUAAUACCGCAUAACGUCGCAAGACCAAAGAGGGGGACCUUCGGGCCUCUUGCCAUCGGAUGUGCCCAGAUGGGAUUAGCUAGUAGGUGGGGUAACGGCUCACCUAGGCGACGAUCCCUAGCUGGUCUGAGAGGAUGACCAGCCACACUGGAACUGAGACACGGUCCAGACUCCUACGGGAGGCAGCAGUGGGGAAUAUUGCACAAUGGGCGCAAGCCUGAUGCAGCCAUGCCGCGUGUAUGAAGAAGGCCUUCGGGUUGUAAAGUACUUUCAGCGGGGAGGAAGGGAGUAAAGUUAAUACCUUUGCUCAUUGACGUUACCCGCAGAAGAAGCACCGGCUAACUCCGUGCCAGCAGCCGCGGUAAUACGGAGGGUGCAAGCGUUAAUCGGAAUUACUGGGCGUAAAGCGCACGCAGGCGGUUUGUUAAGUCAGAUGUGAAAUCCCCGGGCUCAACCUGGGAACUGCAUCUGAU
rnacentral:rRNA from 1 species